CAGUAGCCGCGGUAAUACGUAGGUGGCAAGCGUUGUCCGGAAUUAUUGGGCGUAAAGGGCUCGCAGGCGGUUUCUUAAGUCUGAUGUGAAAGCCCCCGGCUCAACCGGGGAGGGUCAUUGGAAACUGGGAAACUUGAGUGCAGAAGAGGAGAGUGGAGUUCCACGUGUAGCGGUGAAAUGCGUGGAGAUGUGGAAGAACACCAGUGGCGAAGGCGACUCUCUGGUCUGUAACUGACGCUGAGGAGCGAAAGCGUGGGGAGCGAACAGGAUUAGAUACCCGCGUAGUCCCUGUCUCUUAUAC
rnacentral:rRNA from 1 species